rnacentral:lncRNA from 1 species
AAAUGAUUAAAAAUUAUGCAGCGGAGAAUAAAAAUUAAACCAAUAAUAUAAGUUUCAAAGUUCAAAUUGAAAUGAUUGAAUCAAAACGACAUAGUCCAAUUGUUAAUAAAGAAUUAGUAGCAUAAUUAAAUAAAAGUUUUCCCCCAACAACAUCCUAACAGAGCGACUCCAAUUAAAUAGCAAAACAACAGCUAUCCGAACGCAUCAGCUAUGACUCAUCACCU